rnacentral:rRNA from 1 species
GACGAACGCUGGCGGCGUGCCUAAUACAUGCAAGUCGAACGAACCGCGACUAGGUGCUUGCACUUGGUCAAGGUGAGUGGCGAACGGGUGAGUAACACGUGGGUAACCUACCUCAUAGUGGGGGAUAACAGUCGGAAACGACUGCUAAUACCGCAUAGGACAUAGGAUCACAUGAUUCUGUGAGGAAAGGUGGCGCAAGCGAUCGCUAAGAGAUGGACCCGCGGUGCAUUAGCUAGUUGGUAGGGUAAAGGCCUACCAAGGCGAUGAUGCAUAGCCGACCUGAGAGGGUGAUCGGCCACAUUGGGACUGAGACACGGCCCAAACUCCUACGGGAGGCAGCAGUAGGGAAUCUUCCGCAAUGGACGCAAGUCUGACGGAGCAACGCCGCGUGAGUGAAGAAGGUCUUCGGAUCGUAAAGCUCUGUUGUUAGAGAAGAACAGCGCAUAGAGUAACUGUUAUGCGUGUGACGGUAUCUAACCAGAAAGCCACGGCUAACUACGUG